UAUAUAUUAGUUGCUUAUUAGUGCUCCGCACUCCAGUCCAGAUGGUGGCGGUAAAUGCACCAGAAGUUGGUUUGCCAUCCGCCAUAAAACGUUAUUAGAAGAAGAUCAGUUUCAGCGCGCUGAGCAGAGGCUUCUGAGGAGAGUUCAGCAGCUCGCGAUAAGCUCCUCCCACAUGUUCACUGGUAGUGAAGCUCCGCCCACUGCAACACAUCAUCAGUGAAUCUCCGCCCACUCC